CCUACGGGUGGCAGCAGUGAGGAAUAUUGGUCAAUGGCCGGAAGGCUGAACCAGUCAUGCCGCGUGAAGGUCAGUGCCCUAUGGGCGUUAAACUUCUUUUGUGCGGGAGCAAUAAUGGUCACGUGUGGCCAGACGAGAGUACCGUACGAAUAAGCAUUGGCUAACUCCGUGCCAGCAGCCGCGGUAAUACGGGGGAUGCAAACGUUAUUCGGAUUUAUUGGGUUUAAAGGGUGCGUAAGCUGGUAGGUAAGUCAGCUGUGAAAUGUCCUCGCUCAACGGGGUGAAGUGCCAUUGAUACUGCCUGGCUGGAAUGCGGAUGCGGUGGGAGGAAUGUGUGGUGUAGCGGUGAAAUGCAUAGAUAUCAUACAGAACACCGAUUGCGAAGGCAUCUCACGAAUCCGCGAUUGACGCUGAUGCACGAAAGCGUGGGUAUCAAACAGGAUUAGAUACCCUUGUAGUC
rnacentral:rRNA from 1 species